AAGGGUAUAGCUCAGUUGGUAGAGGGCAUGUUUAGCAUGCAUGAGGUCCUGAGUUCAAUCCCCAGUACCUCCA
rnacentral:tRNA from 1 species